UGAGGUCUUCCAUGAGGCGCAUGCUCGCCUGGUAGUCUUUGCUCUGACCUGGCGCAGAUUGGGGCAAGUUCAUGCUGUCUUGGCCUUGGUCCACAACAUGGUCAUUGUUUUUCUACAGCGAGCCGGGCUGUGACACUAACGUUUCUUAUCCUCUUAGAUCCACCACUUCAGCUUCAUGGAUGUUGUCUAUGAGUUGGUGCUGCUGGGAAUGCUGCAGGGAGCGAGGCCUCUGAUCUGUCCAACGCAAGGAGGGCUCCUUGGGCACCUCAUGGAGAUGUUUUAUUUCUUUCAGUCCUGUCAGACCGAGGGCUGAACAGUACUUGUACCUGCUCCAGGAUGAGGCAAUGCUCCUGUUGAAGGACAUCUUUCGUGAAGAGGAGCAUGUUCAUAUGGAUUCCUGAUCUCUGGCCCUCGCUCUGUGGGACUGUCUGGAGAAAUGUGUCCAGUGGCUGUUGGCGUUUAACAUCUACCCCUUCCUUCACAAACACCAUUUUUCAUUUACUUUUAUAUUUUUACCAGUAUAAUAUUUGUAAAUAUCAGUGUAACAUUAAGUACACUAAAUACUGGGUUGCCAGCUAUUCAGUUCAUCUACCUCAUUAAUUAUCUGUAGCCAAUCAGAUGGGGGUAGAACUGAGGGUAGAUGUCAAGCAGCACAAGGGAAAGAAGAGAAAGAUACAGAAAACAGCUUCAGCUGAUGAGGAAGAAGAGAAUCCGUCGGACACCUUCUGGUUCUCUGGCUGCAAAUGACACCAGCGAAUGCUCUUCAUCUGAUAAGUGUCAUGACUGUCAGAUCAGAACUAAGGGAAAAGAAAACGCAGCAGACCGUGCAACAAAAAGUUCUACUGUGGGUUUUGUUCUGAGCGCUUUCAGCAAAAUGGCACAGCACUUGGAAUUAAAACACAAAGAUAAACCAGAGGAGGAAAGAGCAAUUACAUUUCCAAAGGAAAUGUUACCGGUCCAGUGUACCUGUAAAACCCAGUGAUUACAAGCACUGUGUUAACUGUGAGGUUUACCUUAAAAAGAUCACUAUGGAGGCACACAGUAAAAAAAAGCCAGGGAAAACUAGAGUCCAGGCCCUUUGUGUAUUUGCUCAGCCAGUUCCAGACAAUGCAAAUGCACAAUUUUGGAAACUCUUGCUUGACAUGUAUGAAAACGAGGUAACAGAUGUCAGCAGAGCGAUAAGCAUACUGAAAUGAGGGGAACACCUCUACAAUAAGCACAGGCCUGAUGUCAUAAAAACAUGAACAUGUUAGACAGUCAAACACGGUGAUUAGUUCUCCAAGGAAAGAAAAAUGGCAAGUCAGAGAUGGUGUCAAGUUUCUGUGUACCAUGUAAUUUCCCUCGUGUUAUAGAAGCAGUUAAUAAACACCACCAUUGAAGUUAGGCCACAACCUCAAGAAAAAUGCAAAUGUGUGACUUCCUGAUUCACAGAGUAGAAUCCACGAUGUCCCUUAAUAUGGUUACAUUAGGAGAGACCAUGAUGUCUCAUCCAGUACACCAGCAUGCGUUAUCUGACUUUGAGAAGAAGCUCUGUGAAAGGCAAAUGUGGACAAAAGGUGCCCGUUGUCUUCACAUCUGAUAUGCUGGCAUUGAUGGAGUUAUUUGUCUAGACUCACUGGAAUGAUGUGCGUGAUGAGAGUCAGUUAAUGUUUGGGAGACCACAAGCUCUCAGUCACUCCAGAAGAUCAGACAUUAUUUGUUAGAUUUCUUGAAGUGGUGGGGCCCCACAAGCACAUGGCCACUAUGUCAAACUUAAAGGAUAGUGAAAUGGAUGGCCUUGCUGUUUUCCUUGGCUGUGGCAUCAGGGUGCAUCACUAGUAUUAUAGGCUCAGCACAGCUGCCAAAGAUAAGUUCUUAUGGCCCUGGAACAAGGACAGCUGUCAAUUUAUGGAAGGAAUCUUGAGAUCAAAACAUGGUAAAACAGACCUCUGUAAAUAACUACAUUGAUUAACACACUCCAAAGUGUUGUGACCUCAUGAGA